rnacentral:lncRNA from 1 species
AAGUUGCUUGUUCAUGGAAAAACAAAAAAUAAGCAACAAUCAAAAGACGGGAGUUUCAGGAAACAAGUCCGGCCGGCAUGUUUCUAUUAAGACAACUGAACUCGGAUACAGGUGUCGGUAGGCUGAAAAGCUUGAUUAUUCCAACAUUAAAUAUAAGCAUGAUCGGGAUACAAUAGCUUAUAGUCAUGGUUACUCAGUCAUGACUGUCCUAGUUUGGAAAACGAUUAUGCUUGGCAUACUAUGCACUAUAAUAAGGACCCACGGCGACGAGCGUCGAGAAGCCCUCCGACGAUCAACGCCGGACGGAGGUAGAAGACGAUGAACAAAUCACAACUCCCUCAAACACAUAUACAUAGAGGUACACACGCACACACGCAGCACAACCUCGGAAUAACUCUCACAUCGACCGGGCGCGUACUACAGUCCCGACGAAGACUACAUCUUCUUUGGGCCCCUCCCCCUCGGCUCGGCACACACUGUCACCGUAGCGCGGCAACAAACGGGGGCACUUUACAUCAAUACACGGGAUGGGCUUUUAUAGCCAAGCUACACACCAGCACCCGCACUCACAUGACCCAGCCACCACACCGGCCACUAACCCAUGCAUGCACCAUCACACCUGGCCACUAACUCAAUUAACUUGGCCGGCACUCACGCACUAGCUAACAACCUUAUCUAGCUGAUCUGAUUCAUGCACUAACUAACCCCACGCAAGUCACGCGCACACCACGUAGCUAGCUCCAACAGAUCGCAACAGCCUCUGUGCAUGCAACUCCUUCACGUCAGGAACGCGAGCAUGGACUCACGCCGGCACACACCCCGUGCCCAUCAUGGACUAAAACUGUCGCGUCGACGCCGGUCACCACCGGACGGGCACAAGCAUGGCUUAUUGCCAACCCUCACCCCCUAAGCCAUGACCUUGCCGCCGUCGUCGUCUUGUACUCGUUGCGGCGGCCCCUUGCACGCGACGACCUGUGCCGCACCGCCCGGUCUCCGCACCAUGGCCACCGCGCUACACUCGUUGUCGACGUCGUUCCCCGGAUGCCGCACCACAGCCGCAACAGCAUCCACGCCGCCGUGAAGCGCCGCUGCGCCACCACGCAGCGCCUCGGCGGCCUCCGCGGUUGCCGCACGUACGACAUCACCACCCGCCACCUCCACCACGCGCCAUGACAGCCGCAGCGCCGGCCACCUCCAUACGCCGACACACGGCCCGGAGCUUUACCGCGCAGCCGCCAACGAACACCGCCACCGCCGGCAUGCCUCCGGCAAGGUGACGACACCGAAGAUGAACCAGCUCAUGAUACCAAAUGUUGGAACAAACCCACGGCGACGAGCGCCGAGAAGCCCUCCGACGAUCAACGCCGGACGGAGGUAGAAGACGAUGAACAAAUCACACUUCCGGCGAUGAACGCCCCGGCCGAAGAACGGUCUGUAUGUUGGCAUCUAUUCAUCUCAACUCCCUCAAACACAUAUACAUGGAGGUACACACGCACACACGCAGCACAACCCCGGAAGAACUCUCACAUCGACCGGGCGCAUACCACAGUUCCGACGGAGACUACAUCUUCCUUGGGCCCCUCCCCCUCGGCUCGGCACACACCGUCACCGUGGCGUGGCAACAAACCGGCGCACUUUACAUCAAUACACCGGAUGGGCUUUUAUAGCCAAGCUACACACCAGCACCCGCACUCACAUGACCGAGCCACCACACCGGCCACUAACCCAUGCAUGCACCAUCACACCCGGCCACUAACUCAAUUAACUUGGCCGGCACUCACGCACUAGCUAAAAACCUUAUCCAGCUGAUCUGAUUCAUGCACUAACUAACCCCACGCGAGUCACGCGCACACCACGUAGCGAGCUCCAACAGAUCGCAACAGCCUCUGUGCAUGCAACUCCUUCACGUCAGGAACGCGAGCAUGGACUCACGCCGGCACACACCCCGUGCCCAUCAUGGACCAGAACUGUCGCAUCGACGCCGGUCACCACCGGACGGGCACAAGCAUGGCUUAUUGCCAACAGCCUGCAAGGAUAAGAUUGAUUCUAUGAGAUUAUCACUUUAGAUGUUAGAGAAUAGAAAAAACAGUGUAAAUAAUAUAGUAGUAGUGAACUCGAUUAAGUUAAGCAACAAAUCUAAACAAG